CUCUGAGAAGACACCAAGAGCCUCUUUAGAAGAGUGGGUCAUGUUUUGUACCAUGUGCCCUGCUCCUACCAGGACCCCUGAGGUCUGAUUCAAGGUCCACUGCAGCCAGUGGGAGAAGAGGAGAAAGCAGGAGGUCCAAACACCUUGGAGGACCCUGGAGUUCUUGUUAGGACUUGAGGUAAGCUCAUGUGAGGUGGUGUGGUGAGGGGACACUAGCUGUGAAAAGGGGGAUGGACAUGAGUGGAGCGCCAUGCUGGGGUGGCCAGGGGCAUCGCUACCUGGUGUUCAGUGGUGCUGCGUGGAUGCACUCCAUGGUGUCAAGAAGGAAAAGGAGCACUUCCAUGUAUAAAAGAUGGAGUAUAAAAGGACGUUUUGUUGGUUUUGUUCCACUCAUGGAAGUAAUUUUCUGGUUACUAUGAGGGGAGAAUGAAAUGCCUUGUCUCAAGCUUUCUGGUGAAAGGAAACCCACUGCACAGUUGUAAUCUUUAUUACUGCGGUCUUUAAGUGUUCUCUUGAUUCAGCUGCAUCUUAAUGAGGAGACUAUAUUGGAGACUGAUUUCUCAUGCUUCCGAUUAUUGAGAAAUAUGCUCUCCAUGUCCAUGUGAACAAUUCCGCUUCUGCGUCAAGACUGAAACUUCCCUGAGGCUAUAAUCUCAACAGCUUAUAAGAGCUGCUGGUACAAUAGUAUUGCAGAUUGCAGGAUACCCUACCUCAGCCCUGGUCACAAGGAUGCGAAUCAAAGUAUCUUCAUCAGUCCCAGCUCCUUUCAUUGACUCGUGCAGAAGUGUAGCAAAGUAACCCGGACAGUCUUUGGCACAGCUGACUGGAGAACAGUAAGAGACUUCAUUACACUUAAAUACUUACACUUUGUAUUACAUCUUCAAUCAGAAGGAAAUAAGGAAGAAAUACAAAAAACUCUCUAGGGUUAUAAUCAUGUAGAUGUAUGAGCUGGGAGGGUUUGUAUUUUAUAACUAGUUCUCUAUCCACAUACAAGGAGCAAAUUUGGAAUCUGAAUGGAGUCACACGUUUAUCCAGAGGGAAAGUUCAUUACACAGUGAAAUGAUAAACACUGACUCCACUGCUAUUUCACAGUGAAAAUGAAAUGAAUGAGGAUGAGCGUUAGUCCAUCGAGAGUUCUCCUUGAUGAUAUAUUUACUGUGUCCAGGCCCAGGACACCAGACACAAGAAAAACGUGGAACUAUUGGUGUGGGUCCAGAGGAGGCUAUGAAGAUGGAGCCUUUCUCUUAUGAAGAAAGGUAGAGGGAGCUGGACUUGUUUAGCUUGGAGAAGAGAAGGCUCCAGGGAGACCACAUUACAGAUUUCUAGUACUUGGGGGAGCACAUAAAAAGGAGAGAGAUCAAUGUUUACAUGAUCUGAUAGCAAUAGGACAAGGGAGAAUAGCUUUAAACUAAAAGAGAUGAGGUUUAAGUUAGAUCUUAGUAAGAAAUUCUUUACUCAGAGGGUAGUGAGGCACUGGCACAGGCUGCAGAUAAGUCAUUUUCAGUUUAGGGUUACCUCAAUAACCGUCACCAGGCAGAAACCCCAAGAACCAAUGUCAAAGGAGGGCAAGAACUAGAAAAGAAAGGUCUCAAUGCUUUUUUUUUUUUCUUUUACCCAGAGUGAGAUAAGCUUUCUCCAGAUCUCCUGAUGUUUCACUUUUAAUGGAUUCUUCUAUGUCUUUUCCACACACCUACAAGGACAACAAAAUGUAGCUGUAAGAGCUGCUCUCUGCACACGUCAUAGCACUGCCAUAAAACCCACUUUAUAUUAAGGAUCCAAUGGCAAAAGCCCAAUUCACAUCCUUUUAGCUCUUUACAAGAGAGUAAUUCAUGGACAAAUGAAGCCUUUCUUUGGUUUAAGUGCUCACAGAUCCACUGGCACCAAGAAAACAGAGGCUACAAGGCCUGGUAAGGCACAGCAGCCAGGAGAUGGAUAGCAUCAAUCAGGCAGUUGUACUCAUAUCAGAGGGCUUCUAGAACAAAGAAGCUUCAGCUUCUUCUUGAGUGACCCUGAGUCUAGGAAAAAGUCUCUGAGUUCCUUCUAAUCCUUUUAUCAAGGCUCUGGAUAGUUUCCACACAAAGAAGAUAAAUUUUGGAGCUUUACCAGCUCUGUGAAGCUUUGUUACUUAUUGUCUUUGGCUUCCCAGGGAAAGUUUACAAGCACUUCAGUUGUUCCCAAGUUUUUGUAUUAUUCUGUAGAAAAAGGGAAAAAGAGACUGCAACUUCAAAACACAGUUCAUUUUGACCUAGUGAAUUUUCUGAACCUCAAAGCCUUUUACUUUGCUCUGCUUUGCUACUUAGAUGCCUCUGCGUGUUUCAAAAAUCCAGUGGACUUAAGCUCAGACCUAGGAGAGCACAAAUACAAGGCAGCAUUGGAUACCUUGUGAGAUUCUGCAAACCCAAUUGAUUUGUCUCUAUCUUUCCAAAAGUGAAGGAUUGAUGUUUGCAUGGCUCUAAUAUGGGCCCCCUUCCUCUCAUACAGCCAGAAAGGAUGUGGUAGAUUGGGUUGGGCAAUAUGAUCUUCUUGGCUUUUGGAAUCAAAAAGUGAAGGUAGCUUGGAACCCCCAGGAUAUGGGCAACUCUGAGGGAGUAUCAAUUAGUGACUGGUUUUUUUCUCCUGCCAACAACAAACCAAAAGCUGGAUUAAGCUUCAAACAUUUUUCCAAAUAAGGGUUCUUUAUUAUAAUGACAUUGAAAGAAGACUAUGACUGAAGGUUUCCUAUCUUCAAUGCUUAGGGUCACAGUUUUCUGAUGAACUCAGAGACAUCGCUCUCUUCCAGUAUCUGAAAGGUGCUUACAGUGAGAGCAAGGCAGGUCAGUUGCGCCAAAGUAAGUUUAGGUUGGAUGUUAGGAAACACUUCUUUACAGAAAGGGUAGUUAAACACUGGUAUAGGUUCCCCAGGGAGGUGGUCGAGUCACCAUCCCUGGAUGUGUUUAAGAGCUGUUUGGAUGCAGAGCUCAGAGAUAUAUUAUUUAGCAGAGGGUUGUUAGAAUUAGGGUACUAUGUUGUUUGGACUUGAUGAUUUUCGAGGUCUUUUCCAACCUGAGUAAUUCUAUGAUUCUACAUCCUAGGGGAUUUUGGGUUUCUGAGCCAGAGGCUGGAGAGGACCCCUCUCCAGGGAAUGAACAUCACUGCUGGGCUUCCACCUACCUUCUGAGAGAAAAACUUUGCAUUUGCCUUUGCUUGAACUUUCACAGGUCAAGUAAACAGCUAAGGCUCUGCUGCUUACUUCAUCUUUUGCUUGUGAGGAGAGCACAGCAAAGUCCUUGCACCUGCUGUCUGCUCAGAAGAGGCUAGAGAUGUGCCUCUGCCCUAACAGAAGGGCUGUGGAUGAGUGCAAUGGAGAGGAUGGGAACAGGCACCUCCAGACACAGCAAGGUCUCAUGAGUAAGCCAGGAACAGGUCCAGCAUGCAUCCGCCCAGCUGUGUGCCACCUCACUGCCCCAGAAUGGUCAGCCCUCCUGCUGCAGGAACCAGCAUACGCAUCAUCAUGCAGCUGUGGGACACCACAGCUUUUGUUUGGUUGGAUGCUGUGUGGGUUAUGAAAGGGAAUAUCCUCUGCUUAACUGGCAUAUGAUACAGCUUUUUCCCUCUAUAAGAUCAGGAUCUAGUCAUACAGAAAUUAUUUCCAAAUUCCUUUAAAAUGAUAAAUAAAGGGUCACCUUCUCUACAUGUUGUUGCAGGGCCUGCAAGCUACACAUUACAUCCUGUGCAACCCACAUCACAUAAGGGAAUAACUCACCUUUUCGUAGGCCUGAAAAGUUGCUCUCAGCUGACUGUAGCUUCUCUUUGCUAAGACAACAUUGAAAGCCAGCUCCUCUGUUCCCCAGCGGCCUUCUCCUGCCUUAGAUAUUGCAUGUUAAUGUUUGAUGCACUUGUGUAUCCCACAUGCUCAGUGCAUUUUGUCACCAUCUCAUUGCUGAGCAGCACCAGAUAAUUGUUGUUUUUCUUUCUUUCUGUAGUUUCACUUACUUUAUACAGAUCUGAGGCAUCCUGCUCAGCGAGCUCUACGUUGACUUGCUGGUUCUCAUCUCGGGUUGCCUACAGAAAAGGACAUUAUGGUUCAAAAAGAGACUCAAGUGCUGGUUAGUUUGUGGUGGAGGGGAAGCUGGUCAUUUAGCGGCCUUUGCAAACAUUUUGGUUAUAGUUUUGCUGCCACCUGCUGACAACUGCUUAGUAAUAGGUCACUGUACAGCACGGGAUAAAACUGUCCAAGUUCAGCAUGGACUUGAGGUGAAGCCUGCACAUUAAUCAGUGCUGUGUACUCCCUGAGAGCUUUGAAAUAUUCCUCAAUAAAUGAAUAUAAUGCAUGCUCUGAGCAUUCACUAGCACUGUUUUUGUUUGUUUGUUUAUUUGUUUUCUAACUGAAAUUACAAACAAAUUAACUAUAAAAAAGAUAUAUGGAUAAUACACAUUUGCAUCUCCUGAAAAUAUACCCCAAGAGGUUGAAGCAGUGCUUUCCAGACUGGUGUACUUAGCAACCGGGCUGUUAAAACUUUAAAAUGUAUCAAAUCUUUUCAUUUCCAUGGGCUGUCUGGUCAGAUGGUUGCACUCCUACUUGUGAUCUUACUUUAAUUAGCUAUACUAUGUCUUUAUAGAAAUGUUACUUGUUUUUUAUUUCAUGUGGCUGGUUUAAAAUCAAGCAUGUUGUAAUGGAAAAUACACUUUCUUUUUGUGAAUGGAAAGGAAACAUAACAGCAAUCUCUUUCUUACUUCUUCUGUAUCUAUAUGAAUUGUAAGUUAAGAUUGAAACCAGGUGUCACAGGCUUUAGACAGAAAUCAGCAUAGUGUAGUCACGACCCUUCAUGGGUAUUCUACCGUUCUAUCCUCAGUGUUUUCAAGAAACGCGUAGAUACAGUACUGAGGGACAUGGUUUAGUGGGCAUGGUGGUGAUGUGUUAAUGGUUGGAGUAGAUGAUCUUACUGCUCUUUUCCUACCCUAGUGAUUCUGUGAUUCUAUGAUACCAUUACUGUGGUAAAAUCAUAAAGUUAUGCUGAUGCCUACCAAUUAUCAGAAUUUCUAAAAUCACUUCUGAAUUUGUAUAAUCCCCAUUGUGACAUUAAACAGCUGAAAACUCA